rnacentral:rRNA from 1 species
AGAGCUUGCUCUUAUGGGUGGCGAGUGGCGNGACUGGGUGAGGAAUACAUCGGAAUCUACCUUUUCGUGGGGGAUAACGUAGGGAAACUUACGCUAAUACCGCAUAAGACCUUCGGGUGAAAGCCGGGGACCUUCGGGCCUGGCGCGGAUAGAUGAGCCGAUGUCGGAUUAGCUUGUUGGCGGGGUAAAAGCCCACCAAGGCGACGAUCCGUAGCUGGUCUGAGAGGAUGAUCAGCCACACUGGAACUGAGACACGGUCCAGACUCCUACGGGAGGCAGCAGUGGGGAAUAUUGGACAAUGGGCGCAAGCCUGAUCCAGCCAUACCGCGUGGGUGAAGAAGGCCUUCGGGUUGUAAAGCCCUUUUGUUGGGAAAGAAAUCCUGCCGAUUAAUACUCAGUAGGGAUGACGGUACCCAAAGAAUAAGCACCGGCUAACUUCGUGCCAGCAGCCGCGGUAAUACGAAGGGUGCAAGCGUUACUCGGAAUUACUGGGCGUAAAGCGUGCGUAGGUGGUUGUUUAAGUCUGUCGUGAAAGCCCUGGGCUCAACCUGGGAAUUGCGAUGGAUACUGGGCAACUAGAGUGUGGUAGAGGACAGUGGAAUUUCCGGUGUAGCAGUGAAAUGCGUAGAGAUCGGAAGGAACAUCUGUGGCGAA